rnacentral:lncRNA from 1 species
GCGCUUCCCUGGUUUAUGUUCGGCAUUCAGCAGACUGGCUGGGCAGAGAUAGCGGCAAUCGGAGGAAAGAAAGACAGAGGAGACACCUAGGGACACAAAGAAUCCCGAAAAUUCAACGUUGCGUCUUUAGAGGCUUUGACAUCAAGGUCUUGCUGGGCUCAUGAAAUGAUCUAGGAAGUGUUUCCUCUGCCGUUAUUUUCUGAAAGAAUUUGAGGAAUACUGUUACAGAAGCACAAGCCUUGUACCAAGAAGACACUUGGCCACAUGACUUUGGACAAUUAAACUCGCAGCUUCUGUUUUCUCAUCCAUCCAGCAGAGUGGCCGCCAUCCACCUAGCCCGUUGUGGUGAAGUGUGGACAAAGUGAGAUCUGAAAUGCUGCCAGUAGGGCCGCUCGUGGGCCCUUGGCACGAGAGGUGUUUUGUUAAUAAGUAUGCUUGUUAUUACAUCACCAAGGGGACUAGAAACCUAGCACAAGAUGAUUCUCAAAGCUUCUUUCUGCUGUAAAAUUCCAACACUCUUUGCCCUUGAAGAGCUUAUGUUGAACAGCUGUGUUACCUUCGCAGAACUUUUAAAUGUUGAUUUUAGCUAUCUCAUGUG